GGUGAACGCUGGCGGCGUGCUUAAGACAUGCAAGUCGAACGGGCUCUUCGGAGCUAGUGGCGCACGGGUGAGUAACGCGUAACUGACCUACCCCAAAGUCGCGGAUAACGAUUCGAAAGAAUCGCUAAUACGUGAUGUGCUGUCAGAUCCUGUUCUGCCAGUAAAGAUUUAUUGCUUUGGGAUGGGGCUGCGUUCCAUCAGCUAGUUGGUGGGGUAAAGGCCCACCAAGGCGACGACGGAUAGCCGGCCUGAGAGGGUGGCCGGCCACAGGGGCACUGAGACACGGGUCCCACUCCUACGGGAGGCAGCAGUUAGGAAUCUUCCACAAUGGGCGAAAGCCUGAUGGAGCGACGCCGCGUGAGGGAUGAAGGUCUUCGGAUCGUAAACCUCUGAAUCAGGGACGAAAGACACUUUAUGUGGGAUGACGGUACCUGAGUAAUAGCACCGGCUAACUCCGUGCCAGCAGCCGCCGUAAAAC
rnacentral:rRNA from 1 species